rnacentral:rRNA from 1 species
GUGAAGCCCAGCUUGCUGGGUGGAUCAGUGGCGAACGGGUGAGUAACACGUGAGCAACCUGCCCUCCACUUCGGGAUAAGCCUUGGAAACGGGGUCUAAUACCGGAUAUGAGCUCGCAUCGCAUGGUGUGGGUUGGAAAGUUUUUCGGUGGGGGAUGGGCUCGCGGCCUAUCAGCUUGUUGGUGGGGUGAUGGCCUACCAAGGCGUCGACGGGUAGCCGGCCUGAGAGGGCGACCGGCCACACUGGGACUGAGACACGGCCCAGACUCCUACGGGAGGCAGCAGUGGGGAAUAUUGCACAAUGGGCGCAAGCCUGAUGCAGCGACGCCGCGUGAGGGAUGACGGCCUUCGGGUUGUAAACCUCUUUCAGCAGGGAAGAAGCGCAAGUGACGGUACCUGCAGAAGAAGCGCCGGCUAACUACGUGCCAGCAGCCGCGGUAAUACGUAGGGCGCAAGCGUUGUCCGGAAUUAUUGGGCGUAAAGAGCUCGUAGGCGGUCUGUCGCGUCUGGUGUGAAAUCCCGAGGCUCAACCUCGGGCUUGCAUCGGGUACGGGCAGACUAGAGUGCGGUAGGGGAGACUGGAAUUCCUGGUGUAGCGGUGGAAUGCGCAGAUAUCAGGAGGAACACCGAUGGCGAAGGCAGGUCUCUGGGCCGCAACUGACGCUGAGGAGCGAAAGCAUGGGGAGCGAACAGGAUUAGAUACCCUGGUAGUCCAUGCCGUAAACGUUGGGCACUAGGUGUGGGGCUCAUUCCACGAGUUCCGUGCCGCAGCUAACGCAUUAAGUGCCCCGCCUGGGGAGUACGGCCGCAAGGCUAAAACUCAAAGGAAUUGACGGGGGCCCGCACAAGCGGCGGAGCAUGCGGAUUAAUUCGAUGCAACGCGAAGAACCUUACCAAGGCUUGACAUGUACGAGAAAGCCCCCGAGACGGGGUUCUCUUUGGACACUCGUACACAGGUGGUGCAUGGUUGUCGUCAGCUCGUGUCGUGAGAUGUUGGGUUAAGUCCCGCAACGAGCGCAACCCUCGUCCUAUGUUGCCAGCGGGUUAUGCCGGGGACUCAUGGGAGACUGCCGGGGUCAACUCGGAGGAAGGUGGGGAUGACGUCAAAUCAUCAUGCCCCUUAUGUCUUGGGCUUCACGCAUGCUACAAUGGCCGGUACAGAGGGCUGCGAUACCGUAAGGUGGAGCGAAUCCCAAAAAGCCGGUCUCAGUUCGG